rnacentral:rRNA from 1 species
AGGACUAACGCUGGCGGCGUGCCUAACACAUGCAAGUCGAGCGGGGUAGCAAUACCCAGCGGCAGACGGGUGAGUAACGCGUGGUCAACCUUCCGUUGAAUGGGGGAUAACUAGCCGAAAGGUUAGCUAAUACCGCAUACGAUCUUUUGAAGGCAUCUUUAAAAGAUGAAAGGAGCAAUUCGUUCAACGACGGGACCGCGUCCCAUUAGCUAGAUGGUGGGGUAAUGGCCUACCAUGGCAACGAUGGGUAGCUGGUUUGAGAGAGCGACCAGCCACACUGGGACUGAGAAACGGCCCAGACUCCUACGGGAGGCAGCAGUGAGGAAUUUUCCGCAAUGGGCGAAAGCCUGACGGAGCGACGCCGCGUGUGGGAAGAAGGCCUUCGGGUCGUAAACCACUGUCGAAGGGGACGAUAAUGACGGUACCCUUGGAGGAAGCCCGGCUAACUACGCGCCAGCAGCCGC